UAAUCGUGGUUAAGAAGAAUGUAAACGAUAAAACAAAUUCGUCCACUUUCGGAGAAGUGAAUGACAAGAUUUUUUUUUUUUUAAUUACUUUUACUGGAAGAACUUACAUUUUUUCCAAAAACCCUUAAAAUGUGCGUCAUUUAAUUAAUUUCACCCACUAGGAAUGACAGAAAAUAGUAAAGAUGACUACAUAGGAGACACAUAUUUCAAGUUCUGUAAGAUCUGUAAAAUCCAGGAGCUUCCGGGAGCUUCGCCCCGCGGUCCCCACCUGGACCCACUGGGGGCCUAGAGGCGCCCCCAGACCCAAUGCCUCAUAACGUUGCGACCUCUAACCGCGAUUUCAGGAUCCGCCCCUGAUUUAGCCUUUCAUCUGACAACGAUGUUUUGACGUCACCCCUUAUUGUGAUAAGGCACUGGAUGUAAAGCUUCCGAAAUCUGUACACAGUAUAUGUAGUACAUUAUGCGUAUCUCAGAUUUAUAUUAAAUAUGAUAUUUCUUCAUACACAUAGUGUAUUUAACAUUUACAUUAUAAAUUAUAUCAUAAAUAUGAUACACAGAGUGGUAUCCACAUUUAUACGUUGACGGUCUUACAUAGAGAAUUUAAAUGAAAUUAACUUUGGUUCAGCCUCAGAUAACAACGUUGAAUACUACAUUACAUGUUGAAAACUGGUACAAGUUGAAAAUUAAUUGAAAUAAUGUCGUUAAUUAAAUUUUUAAUCGGUCCUUCAGGUCUGAUUAUGAUUAGGCGCAGUCAGAUCCGAAAAAUGUGUUUUCAACCAACUUGGUAUUAAUUCCACUUUUGAUAAUCGUACUUAUACUCCAAAUGCCCUUCAAAGCCAUGCUUCAGUUUUUGGACGAAUUUGGCUCCACUUUUUUGGCACGCUGGUUUUGGCUAUAUUUAGCUCUAAAACUUCAUAGUUAUUUCAGAUUUCAAACAUUUCGGUUGAGCAUCACUGAAGAGACAUUAUUUGUCGAAAUGCGCAUCUGGUGCAUCAAAAUUGGUACUGUAUAAGUUUUACAUACAUUUAAUACUCCAGUAAAUGGGUCGAAUGAAUAUGAGUUACCGUACCUAUACUGGAUUCCUAAACUACAUAAAAACCCUUACAAAGAUACAUUGCUGGAUCCAGUAAGCGAUCUACCAAGCCCCUAUCUUUACUCCUCACGAAAAUAUUAACAGCUGUGAAGGAGAAACUUACUGUGCAACUACAUAUGCCAGAAGUGGUGUUCAUCAAAUGUGGAUCCUAAAAAAUUCUGAAGAACUUUUAGUAAACUUGAAAUAACAGAAUUUUUCCCAAAUCAAUAACAUUAAAACCUAUGACUUUUCAACACUAUACACGACCAUUCCUCACGAUAAAUUAAAAACUAGACUUUUUGUCAUCAUAGACAGUUGCUUCUUCAACAAAAAUGGAAAACGGAAAUAGUCAUAUCUAGUGAUCAGUCAUUCAAAAACUUACUUUGUUAAACACCACUCUGAUUCCACGCACAAGUACUCUGAAGUUGAAAUAAAAAUAUGCUAGAGUUCCUCAUUGAAAAUAUCUUCGUGGUCUUUGGUGAUCAGGUCUUCUAACAGUCUGUUGAAAUUCCCAUGGGCACGAAUUGUGCUCCUUUGUUAGCUGACCUGUUUCUAUAUUCAUAUGAAGCAGAAUUUAUUCAAAAACUUCUACGUGAAAAGAAAAAAUCUCUCGCUGUGGCCUUCAAUUCGACAUUUAGAUAUAUCGAUUACGUUUUGACUAUUAACAAUAAUAACUUUCAUUCACAUGUCGAUUUGAUAAAUCCCUGUGAGCUCGAAAUAAAGGACACCACAGAGUCGUCCACUUCUGCUUCAUACUUUGAUAUUUUAUUGAAAGUAGACAUUAACGGCAAACUGACAACUCAACUUUAUGACAAACGGGAUAAUUUCAGCUUCUCCAUCGUCAACUUCCCAUAUUUAUGUAGCAAUAUUCCAUUAUCAUCUGCAUAUGGUGUUUAUGUAUCUCAACUGAUUCGAUACGCAAGAGCUUGUUCUGCGUAUAGUCAGUUUUUAAAUCGAGAUAAGCUACUGACAAACAAAUUGAUGGUACAGGGAUUUCAACAGUCUCAUAAUAUUUCAAAGAUUUCAUAAGAUAUAUUUUUCUCUAUGGAAUCCUCAUUUAGGAAGGUGAAGAUAACGAACAGUGAUCAAACUCAUAAUUCCCGCAAGCAAUACAAAAUAGAUAGCCGAGCAAACACGGACCCCUGGACACGCCAGAGGUGGGAUCAGGUGCCUAGGAGGAGUAAGCAUCCCCUGUUGACCGGUCACACCCGUCGUGAGCCCUAUAUCCCGAUCAAUGAGAGGUUGUAUUGACGAACUAGAUCGUUAUAUCUAAUAGAGUCUAUGAAAUUGUCUGAUAGAGGCUAUGAAACGAUAUCUGGUCCGUCAUCUUUGUAUAAAGUUAGACUGAAAGACCUAGUGCGAAAGUAAUUAUAGAGAUGUGGCGUUUUGUUUAUCAUGCAAGGUGAAGAUAACGAACAAUGAUCAAUUAUUGUGUAUAUCCAUGAAGGAACAUAUAUCGAGCGACAAUUGUCCUCGGGGACAGACUACUAAAAAAUUCAAAACAUCGAAACCUUUCUUUACAAUAGACCUUCCUCCGAAAAGCUACAUCCGGUUUAGUUUUCGCUUUUAUGAUAUGUUUUAUCACGUGAUACCCGACAUAUGUUUACUCGAUACAAAAUGGACGUUAGUACAAUCCGUGGAUCAACAGUGUGCAAUUUACAAAAUUUCUUGAAAGAACGGGGGAUUAGCACUCAGAAAUUGAACAAAGGACACCUUUGUGAAGCGGUACUUCAUCUUGACUUACCAAAUAAUCCCGAAUAUAUAAAUAUUUCAUCAACGAAUGACGUUAUUCGCAAGCUCGAUGCACUGGAGUGCAAGGAUCCUCUCACCAUCGAUGGGUUUUCAAAUACUCUGUCUGAUAUUCCAAAUAUUACUCUUUAUGACGUUUUUAAUAAUCUAAUAACAUUGAGAUCUGACUACGACUGAAAAAAACCUCAAAGCUUACAAAUCAUGAUAGGAUUAUAGACUAUAUUUCGAUGGUCAUGUGGACGAUUUGGAGUACAACGGUCUCUCUAAAGAAGAACCCUUAUGUCUCUUCAUAGCAAAAGUCAAACCAAGUCAACAAGAUAAAACUUACUUGAAUGAAAGUUACUAUAAACUAUGGAUCUGCAUUGGAAAACAACAUGGCAAUGUUAGAUCAGCAUACUGAACAUGUAUUGGAGGGUAAGUAGAGAUUGGAAAUGAAUCACAGUGGGGUGUACAACAUGUAGUCUGUGAUUAUUUGAUUAAUAAAUGUAAAAUUAUUAUCAAAUGAGGGGUGUUUACUAUUUACCAUUAUGGCUAUUGGUAGUGACAUGUGUACAAUGUACAUACAUACUCUCAAUGUAUGUUUUGUAGUACUGAUGGUGCAUGCAGGCACAUAGCGGCUGUACUGUAUGAAAUAGAGGCAUAUGAUGAGAAGUCAUCCACUGACGGGGGAAAUAACUGGAUCAAAAGACCAAGACAUCAUGAUUUUCCAGUUCCAAUUAAAGAUUAAAAAUUAUGAAAGCAAAGUAUCACCAGAAUCCAGCUGCAGCAGAUGUCAAUAAUAACUACACAAACGACGAGUUUGAUCCUCGUGCUGUUGUUGAGGAAAUGAAUAAAGAAAAACUCGAUUCUUUUUAUGCAUCUUUACAAAAGAUUGACCCAAAUACACAGGCUUUGGAUUUGCUGGAAAGUAAAUUUGAUGACUCGGAUGUACGAAAAACAAAUGAUGAUCAGUGUGCCAUGUGGUCCAUUUGUGAGAUAUCAGUGAUUUUUUCUUGAUGAAAAGAAGCUAAACUAUCAGUCUGUUGAUGAAGUACCAGAUUCUUUAUAUGAUACCUUUCUAGAAAAUACCCAUGCCAGUGAAGAAGCCAUCCACUAUGUUGAGUGGCACAGAUAUGAACAAUCUGAUAAUUCCAAUUGGCAUGUUGCACGUAAAGGAAUGAAUACUGCAUCAAAUUUUAAAAAGGUGUGCGGUUGUAUGGCUCAUAAAAGAAAUCCCAAUUCUUGGAGAAACAAUUGCAACAAAAAUACAUUUGUAGAAUAGAAUUGUAUACUAUCUGGAUUCAUAUAUGUGUAUUACAAAAUAUUGUCGACCACAGUAAAACAUGGUUAUAUAGCGAACAAGGGUCAGUGAAAAACAGUUUCUUAUAACCAAACUUCGUUUUAUCCAAUACAAUUUUCAUUUUUUCCUCUCUCAGAGGAGAAUAAAUAUCACUUCACAAUAAGAAUGAAUUUGUUAUAUGCUUGUUGGUUAUAAGCAUGUUUUACCGAAUAUUGAAAACUUUUAAGAAGCCUGUAUAAAAAUUGUUUUAAAGUGCUGUUUAAUCCAGAA